GAUGAAAAGUCCCAUAGGCAAUGAAGUAACAUAAACACUAAACAUAUAUGCACCAAAUGGUAUAGCCUCCAAAUUUUUUUUUUAAAACCCUUACCUUCCAUCUUAGAAUCAAUACUGUGUAUUGGUUCUAAGGCAGAAGAGUGGUAAGGGUUAGGCAAUGGGGGUCAAGUGUCUUGGCCAGGGUCACACAUCUAGGAAGUAUCUGAGGUCAGAUUUGAACCCAGGACCUCCCGUCUCUGGGCCUGUCUCUCAAUCCACUGAGCUAUCCAGUUGCCCCCCCCCCCCAAGCCUCCUUUUAAGAAAUAUUAAAUGAUUUAUUUGUCCAUAAUCACAUAAUUAAAGUCUAAAUCCAAGUCUCUUUUGCUUUUAAGUUUAAGUAUUAUUUCUUCAUUUAGGAAAUCAGUUCCUUAGACUAGGGGAUAUGUAAUGCUCCUUUCCCACUUCUAGUGAAUUUUGAUGCCCAGGUCAAGGCACCUGGGUGCUGGUAGUGAGAAAGUAGUGAGUGUAGUGAGAAAGAUUCCUUGAGAAGGCACUUGGAACUUUGGAACACAAGGCUUUGUUGGCAAAGUGUGCAUGUGUAUGAUGACUCUGAAGCAAGUAGAAUCUGAAGAGAUCACAGAGAGGGGAGGGACCACAGCAAGAUAAGGUUCCACUGAAAAAAAAAGAGUUUACCUGGGAGUGUAAAGCUGAUCCUUUGAUAGCUUCCUAUUUUAACCAAUUAUUCAUGCUCAAUGGGUACUAAUUCCAAUUUCUGUCUGGUGAAGAACACAGGAGUGUCAGAGCCUUCUAAAUUUAAAUCCAGUACAUGUUCAAGUUAAGACAUUCCUGAUAUCAUUGGUCUUCUUCAAAAAUAAAGGAUGAACAAGAUUUUGAUAUCCUGGAAUCAAAGCCCUAGUUAUCUUGACCUCAUUUUCACUCUGUCUUGUUAGGAGCUACAGAGGAGCUUGGUAGAAGUCCCCAACAUGGAUUUUACCUUCUACUCUCAUGAUACUUUUUUGCAAAGGGCAUCAUAUACUCCAUGUGUCCAAGGCUUGUUCAGGUUCCUUGAAGUUGGGAGCUCUCUCCUCAGAGUGUAUUCCAUAGCAAUCAGAGUGAUUAUAAAAAGAGCCAUACUAACUCUUAACUUGGGGAUGGAAAGAAAGGAUUGUAAACCAGAAGUGGAAUGGAGCAAGCUGGACUUUUAUUAAUUUUAGGAUAAGAAACAUGCUACCUCUCUGAAUCCAGAAAGUGAACUGUUUGGAGGAGACACCAUGAAGAUGCCUGUACAGACCAAACUCUGCACCAGAAGAUCCAAAGUGAACCUUGGUAUGUGGUGAUUUGAACUAUGUAGGAUUGAAUGCUUUUGUUUUGUAUGUAUACUCAUGCCAAAGGGGACUAUCCCCUAAUUGAUUUUUUGUCAAUGUGCCUAGAAAUAAUUGGUUUUGUUCCUUUUCCCUUUUAUCCCCAAAUUAUUGUAAUUUAAAAGUUGG
rnacentral:lncRNA from 1 species